CCGUGUGUAGCGCAGCUUGGUCAGCGUAGGAGCUUUGGAUGCUUCGGGUCGUUGGUUCGAAUCCAACCACACGGA
rnacentral:tRNA from 1 species